GUCUGAGCGCGCUGGGCUCGUCCCGGUGCCGGAAACGAGCGCUGCCCGGCGAGCGGCCUUGGGGACCCAGGGCUGGGGCCCGUGGCCUACACGAGGCCAGAGAUCCCCACUGGCCCCGAGAGGCCGCCCAGCGCUGGAGGUGCGGGCAGAGCUGCAGCCAAGCUCCCGAGGCGAUCUGCUGUUAGGCCACAACCUGGGCUCGCCUAGUGCCCGAGGCCCAAGUCGCAGUUCUCGUGAAAACGAAAAGGAGAUCGGCUAUGCCCUGGACACAAAGGAAGACCCGCGGGGUGGGUCUAGGGACAGUCCUGAAGCUUUAGCCAGUUUAAGGGGAAGGCGGGCAGCAAGGUCCCAGUCGGGCCCGAUUUCCCUCCUGUUUGAUGACCGGGCGACGAGGGAAACAAAGAUCCAGCCCGAGGGCGCGCCCCCCUUUCCCCUAAUAACCCUGCACCUGGGGGAGACCAGUGGAUACAACCUAUGAGGGCUUCUGGCGGGGUAGGGCGAAGCCGAGAUGUCCACCCCACAGGCCAAAAGCU
ensembl:lncRNA novel transcript